AACCAAAGUCACCAGAGAGCCAAGAAAAUCCACUGGAGACUGGGAUAUCAGGGAGCAACACCAUCCUGCAGGGGAGGAAGGCCACCAGAGGCUUCCGGAGGGAUCGUCGGUCACAACCGGAGAACAGAGCUCAGCAUACAGGCGGACGCGCCAUGACCACUCGUGCUGGAGAUCAGAGAUACCAUGAAGCAACCAGAUCUCUGAUAAGGAUAGAUAGGCACCGGUAAAGCUCAUCAUGCCAACAACUCCGCUGGGGAUCUACCUGAGGACAUGAUGGAGUACUGGAUGUCAAUCCACCAAAUACUGAAUCUUCCAAGAAUAGCACCCAUGCUGGGGGAGGGAGGAAGACUGCUCUGCUGGAGAGAGGAAAGUUGAAGUCUUCAAUAAAUGCUCUGCCUAGG
rnacentral:lncRNA from 1 species